rnacentral:snoRNA from 1 species
GCGGAUGAUUAUACCAUUUUUAACUCGUAGCUACCCUCGGGGUGGCUUUGAAGAUCAAAAACACGCAACAACAAACACUCUAAUUUUUUGAUGACG